rnacentral:lncRNA from 1 species
AUGUUGCUUUAUUCUUAACAGAGCCUGGGGUCCACAGAUGAAGAAGACCUCGAAAUAUAUUUUUCCUGUGUCAGUGACACCGAACAGGAGGAGCAGGCUGAAGAGGCCUCGGCAAGAGCCCGCCAGCCAGGCUCACCUUUAGGUGUCACGGGUCACCAGGUACCUUUUUUUCUUUUGAUAGAGAAAAAUUAACACCAGUUCCCGAUGUUUCAAAUGGACCCUGUCUCCUCUUCCAACAAACAGAGCCCAAAGUGUCCUGCAUUGGCCGGAGAAGUGGACAUGUGUCCGGUGGGCAGCCUCUGUUCCUCCACAUCCAACAGUGAUGUUGAACAAGCUGUAAAAAUGCUCUUUCUAUUCUUAACAUUGAUGUAUUUUUGACAUUGUUUUACUAGAUUGAGCUGAUUUUGCUUUAUUCUUAACAGAGCCUGGGGUCCACGGAUGAAGAAGACCUCGAAAUAUAUUUUUCCUGUGUCAUUGACACCGAACAGGAGGAGCAGGCUGAAGAGCCCUCGGCAAGAGUCCACCAGCCAGGCUCACCUUUAGGUGUCACGGGUCACCAGAGCCCAAAGUGUCCUGCAUUGGUCGGAGAAGUGGACACGUGUCCGGUGGACAGCCCCUGUUCCUCCGUAUCCAGCAGUGAUGUUGAACAAGCUAGCCUGGGGUCCACAGAUGAAGAAGACCCAGAGAUACAUUCUUCCUGUGUCAGUGACACCAAACAGGAGGAGCAGGCCGAAGAGCCCUCGGCAAGAGUCCACCGGCCAGGCUCACCUUUGGGUGUUGCAGGUCACCAGAGCCUGGAGAAGAAGGAUGAGGAAGACUCGCUUUCUUCACAUCUGGCGGCUGUUAUGGCUGUGACAUCACAGCCUAGUGCUCCAAAUAAUAGAUUCCUGGAGGCCUUAAACUAUGUGGUCUCGAGAAGCAGAAUAGAAAGUGGGAGAACCCUUACAUCUGAUGAACUGGCCUGUUAUGGGCUCCCCAACCUGUCCCAGACCUGUUUUAUGAACUCUGUUCUCCAGAGCCUCCUGACCCCCAUGCCUUUUGUGAAGGAGCUCAAGAAACAGAGUCAUCAGUGGCGUUCGCACCCAAAAGCUCUGCUUUUCAAGUACAGCACAAGCUCACGUGCCCCCAUUAUUCUAUGGCAUUAAUGCAAUGAAUGAAAAACAUCUGCUUUCUCCUUUUUCCAGGUUGCUCACAGAUAUAAACAACUGCUUCACUACAAAAAACAGCAUGCAGAAGAAAUCCACCCUCUUCACCUUCCUGCGCACCAUUGCCCUGCAUCAUCCAGACUUUAUAAAAGAUGAGCAACAAGUAAUCAUUCUUUUAUUUUCAAGAGCAUCAUCCUGAUCUUUUCUGGACUAGACACUUUGGUCUGUCUGCAGGAUGCCCACGAAUUUUUGAACACCGUCCUGGAACAGCUCAGCUCCG